UCAUGGCCAAACGUUUUGUCUCUUCCUCAACACGACCCAACUGAAGUUGAACCUUCUCUCUAACCUCCAUCUUCUUCCUCUCAAUCUCUUCUUCUUUAGCUCUAAAGGUAGAAAGGGCAGACCUGGACAUCUCUUCAUCUUCUUUAGACAUUUGGCUGCUAAAGCUAAGGCUACCUGAGUUUUGAACCAUUAACUGGUUCUGUUGCUGUGGCUGCUCCAUUGUCUGCAUAAUCUUCAAACUUCAAGAGAAACCUUCUUCUUCCUCGAAUUCCUCUCUUUAUUAUCUUUCUCUGUCCGUUUCUUUUCUCUCUCC
rnacentral:lncRNA from 1 species